rnacentral:rRNA from 1 species
GACAGAGGUGCCGAGCGUUAGGCGGAAUCACUGGGGCUUAAAGCGUGUGUAGGCGGGCCGUUAAGUAUCUUGUGGAAAUCCCCCCGGCUCAACCGGGGAAUGGUCUGGAUAUACUGGCGGUCUUGAGCAGUUCAGGGGCAGAUGGAACAGACGGUGGAGCGGUGAAAUGCGUAGAUAUCGUCUGGAACGCCAAAGGUGAAGACAGUCUGCUGGGAACUUGCUGACGCUGAGACACGGAAAGCCAGGGGAGCGAACGGG